AUGAGGAGCCCCGGCAGGCCGCAGGGCCCGGGGGCCCCGGGGACAGUGUCCCGUCUGCAGCCUCGGCCUCCUCGGAGACCCGGGCCCAGGGCGCAGAGCCCGCCGCCAGGAAGGCUGGUCCCCUGCGAGGAGGGGCCGCCGGGGGCGCAGAAACAGAGGCAGAGGCAGCAGGGGGUCCCAGGGGGGCAGGCAGGCCGAGCGGGGAGGGCGGCCCACGGACGCCAGGCGGGAGUCGGACGCCUCGGACGCCUCUGCCCAGGGCAGCCUGGGGGUCGUGCUGCAGGGGCCGGAGCAGGGCGACCCGAGCGAGAGCGCCGCCGAGGCUCCGAGCGCGCUGUCCGCCGCGCUGCACGAGGCCGCCCAGGAGCUGAGCAGGAAGGAGUGGGCCCUGCCGAGCGCGCAGGAGAGGGGCCCCGCGAGUUCCUGGCCCUGGGGACGGUGACCCACGGAGCCGAGCAGGAGCCCCGGGGCGGGAGGCCGUCCCGGACCUGGCGGCCCUGCUUGGCGUGCGAGCCGCGGGGGACAGGAGCCCGCCGACGGCGACGCUGCGGACGGCCCGCCGCGGCCACACGGGGAGCCCGGCGACGAGGGGCUGGAGCACCCCGAGUUCGUGGCCAUCGUGGCCUCCACGGACCCGUCGGACCCAUCGGCCCGGCAGGAGCUGCAGAAGAUCGCGGCGGUGAUGGAGGUCCUGGGCUGGAGCAGAGACAGAGCGGACGGAUGCGCCCCCCGAGGUCCUCCGCGUCAUGGCCCGGGACCCGGGGGAGCCCGCGUGCAGGUGGAGGACGCAGGCCGCCGGGUGGACGCCGUGGCGCUGCGGGAGGCCACGCGCGACGGGAGCCUGGGGGAGGCACGGCCGCAAGGGCCGUCACUCCGGACUCGCGCGCCCACGCCCAGGCGGCCGCGCCCCGGCAAAAGAAGGGGCGCGCGGGCGCCGGGGCCCACGGCUCGGAGUCCGCCCGGGGCAGGAAGGCUGGGCGCGGCGGGGGCAGCCCCCCAGGUGCCGCUAGGGGAGCCCGGAGCCGCGCGGACGCACCGGGGCGCUGCCCCCCCUCCCUGCGCCGGGGCGGCCUCCCCGCCUCACCGCCGGCCUCCCCGCGCCUGUCAGUCCCCGCCUCGCAGGUGGCGGAGCGACCCGGGGGUAGGACAGAGAUGCGGGUGCCUCCAGCCCGCCGCGGCCCCCGCCCCCGCCCCCGGAGAGGGGAGAGCGCCCGCACCCGCCGCGGCUCCCGCCAGGGGGCGCUCCAGGAUCGCUCGGGGAGGGCGCGGGACGCUGCAGACCCUGGCCCAGGGCCUUCCAGGUCAAAGCUCCACCUGGAGCGUCAGGCUGCCCAGAGUGCACGUUUCUGUAGCGCAGGGCCCUUCGUGUGA
rnacentral:lncRNA from 12 species